rnacentral:lncRNA from 1 species
GAAAUAAAACAACACAAGAAUUUAACGUGGAAGCUCAAAAUCGGGAAAAAACCACAACCGUUGUCAAAAGACAACAACCGACCACUAUGUGAAAAAUUCUUACAAUCACAUAAACCUUAGUACAUUCUCCUAACAAAAAGUGUUAGAAAUUCAUUUGGUUUGGUACAUUUGAAAACAUAUCUUAAGCCCCCUUAUAUAGGCAAGCCUCC